GUGAAGCUUUAGGGCCUGAGCCAUACGGACCGCAAGGUCUCUGGCCGCCCGACACACUAUAUAUCCUACCAACCCGUGUGCACCGCAAGGAGGACAGAGACAUGACAGUGUCUGCUGCCUCCGUCUCUACACAAACUCGUAUGGUUGUAUGAACGUAUGAAGCCGUUGGACCGUCACUGGCCAACAAACUUAUACA
rnacentral:misc_RNA from 1 species